rnacentral:ncRNA from 1 species
GAUUUUAAACAAUCUACUGAAUAACCAAGUGUAGAUAGGGUGACACCUUGCUUGGAUUGUAUACAUAAUUCCCGUUACGCUCUCCGUGAGAUAUUGCGGAGGGAUAAGUAAUUCUCUUUUGAGUAAUUGAAAGAGAUCAUGAAGUGUAAGAAGAUUGAGGGUGUAUGCAGUAUAGAGGUUGUGCGUAAUUAGACCAUUAUCAGACGGUGGCGGUGACAAUAGACGCUUUCGGUGAAAGAAUAAUCUGGGUAGGCCUUGCGUAGCAGUAAGAACCGAACCAGAAAUGCUAAAAUAAACCGUUUUGCACUUGAGGUCGAGGGAUCGGCCAAUAACACCAAAGAUAAGUACAAGUAGCCCAAAAAUGUGCAGACACUACAUUAGAAUGUAUUAAUGCUUAAAAUAUAUUUCUGAAUGUCGGGUGAAAGUUGGACGUAACCAGUCGUGCCUAGUCAUUUAAUCGCUACGGAAGUUAUAGGGUCGCUCCUUAUGGCUCAGACCGUGGUAGGCUAUCGGUCAACAAAUUGCGUACAAUCGAAGUAGAGCGAAGGCUCAUUUAGUUGAUUGUUUAAAG